rnacentral:rRNA from 1 species
CCUACGGGUGGCAGCAGUGGGGAAUAUUGGACAAUGGGGGCAACCCUGAUCCAGCCAUGCCGCGUGUGUGAAGAAGGCCCUCGGGUUGUAAAGCACUUUCAGUGAGGAAGAACGCCUGGUGGUUAAUACCCAUCAGGAAAGACAUCACUCACAGAAGAAGCACCGGCUAACUCCGUGCCAGCAGCCGCGGUAAUACGGAGGGUGCGAGCGUUAAUCGGAAUUACUGGGCGUAAAGCGCGCGUAGGUGGCUUGAUAAGCCGGUUGUGAAAGCCCCGGGCUCAACCUGGGAACGGCAUCCGGAACUGUCAAGCUAGAGUGCAGGAGAGGAAGGUAGAAUUCCCGGUGUAGCGGUGAAAUGCGUAGAGAUCGGGAGGAAUACCAGUGGCGAAGGCGGCCUUCUGGACUAACACUGACACUGAGGUGCGAAAGCGUGGGUAGCAAACAGGAUUAGAUACCCGUGUAGUC